rnacentral:rRNA from 1 species
CCCUAUGGGGCGCACCAUCGGGAUUUUCCUGAAGCUCGAUUUCCAACGGGCCGUCUUGACGCGGGCCGCCGGGAAGUCCCAGUUUCAGGGGCGGCCGGUUUUCCUCCUGAUCGACGAGGCCCAGAACUACGUUUCCGCCUCGCAGAAGGUGGGGGACGCCAUCUACCUGGCGGAGGCUCGCAAGAGCAGGCCGAUAAACAUCUACAUGAGCCAGAACGGGGAUUCCUUCCUGAACGCCUUCCGCGAGGAGUCCACCUGCAACGUGUUUUUCGCCAACCUCCGGACGAAGAUAUUUCUUUCGCAGGAACAAUCGACAAGUCAGAAGACCGCCGCCGAACUGGGCGGGAAGGGGACCGUCUGCAAGAAGACGAGCAGCGAGAGCGAGGCGGGCCGGGACACCGAAAUGAACUACAUGGCGGGGGGG